AGGGCGCUGCCCAGCAGGAGGCAGAGCUGCUGCGAGAAGAAGACCCAGGAGAUCUGGGGCAGCGAGCUGUGCGUCUGGCAGCGCAGGUCCAGCAGCGUGGGCCCCAGGAAGGCGAUGCACAGGCCGAAGCUGAAGAAGACGCUCCAGUAGUAUCAUCACGCUGUCCACCUCCUUCAGGAACCUUUUCUGGACAAAUUCUAUCCAACCCCAAAAUUCUAGCCAGCCCCUGAUUGACUUCUUGCCCCUACAAUCUUCACAGCUGUAUCCAUGGAUUGCUAGGUGCCUCUUCCUGUCACCCAGCCUCCCUUGCAGCCAGUGAAACGGGUCGCCUCCUCUGGAAAGCUUUCCCUGACCUUCCUAGGGCCCCAAACUACAUCAUUGCUCAUCACCUGUCUACCGCCUCUCCUCCAAGGCAAGGGCCACGGGGUUUGUUCGUCACUGAGUUCCCAGGACUGGCUCUGUGGUGAGAGAUGUUUGCCCUACAGUGACUCCCACUUAGUCCUUGAAGUUGAUAAACAAUAAAUCAAUUGUAUAUUUUGGACCAUCAACAGUGAUCUACAUCCGGGAAACAUUCAGGGAGAAAGCAAACAAGAUGAUAUAACAGAGAGUGAAAUAAAAGCCACGUACUCUCACUACCAACCUUUCACGUACGUGGGAGCUGCCCAAAUUCCUUAGUGCA